GAUGAACGCUGGCGGCGUGCCUAAUACAUGCAAGUCGAGCGAACAGACGAGGAGCUUGCUCCUCUGACGUUAGCGGCGGACGGGUGAGUAACACGUGGAUAACCUACCUAUAAGACUGGGAUAACUUCGGGAAACCGGAGCUAAUACCGGAUAAUAUAUUGAACCGCAUGGUUCAAUAGUGAAAGACGGUUUUGCUGUCACUUAUAGAUGGAUCCGCGCCGCAUUAGCUAGUUGGUAAGGUAACGGCUUACCAAGGCAACGAUGCGUAGGCGACCUGAGAGGGUGAUCGGCCACACUGGAACUGAGACGCGGUCCAGACUCCUACGAGAGGCAGCAGUAGGGAAUCUUCCGCAAUGGGCGAAAGCCUGACGGAGCAACGCCGCGUGAGUGAUGAAGGUCUUCGGAUCGUAAAACUCUGUUAUUAGGGAAGAACAAAUGUGUAAGUAACUAUGCACGUCUUGACGGUACCUAAUCAGAAAGCCACGGCUAACUACGUG
rnacentral:rRNA from 1 species